rnacentral:pre_miRNA from 1 species
AAUAAGUUUAAUUUUACACUUUUUAUAUUUAAUGUUUGACCACUCGUCUUUUUUAAAAAAAACUAUGAUUAGUUUUUUACUGUUAUUAGAUGAUAAAACAUAAAUAAUACUUUAUGUGUGACUAUUUUUUUAUAUUUUUUUAAAUAAGACGGACGGUUAAACGUUGGACACGGAUUUUUACGACUGCAUUUAUU